rnacentral:rRNA from 1 species
CCUACGGGAGGCAGCAGUGGGGAAUAUUGCACAAUGGGGGCAACCCUGAUCCAGCCAUGCCGCGUGUGUGAAGAAGGCCCUCGGGUUGGAAAGCACUUUCAGUGAGGAAGAACGCCUGGUGGUUAAUACCCAUCAGGAAAGACAUCACUCACAGAAGAAGCACCGGCUAACUCCGUGCCAGCAGCCGCGGUAAUACGGAGGGUGCGAGCGUUAAUCGGAAUUACUGGGCGUAAAGCGCGCGUAGGUGGCUUGAUAAGCCGGUUGUGAAAGCCCCGGGCUCAACCUGGGAACGGCAUCCGGAACUGUCAAGCUAGAGUGCAGGAGAGGAAGGUAGAAUUCCCGGUGUAGCGGUGAAAUGCGUAGAGAUCGGGAGGAAUACCAGUGGCGAAGGCGGCCUUCUGGACUGACACUGACACUGAGGUGCGAAAGCGUGGGUAGCAAACAGGAUUAGAUACCCCUGUAGUC